ensembl:lncRNA LOC108349241 uncharacterized LOC108349241
CAUAGAGCUGUGCCGGUCAGUUUCCCAGAAGAGGACAAAGCGAGAUGUCCCAGCGGGUCUUUCCGGCUCAAGGUACAGCAUUCAGCUCUGCUACCACAAAUAUGAUUGCCUUAAAGAAGACUGAAAUUGUGUCCUGUGCAGGCCUGACUGUUUUCACUUCAUACAAGUUUCUUCUCUGCUGUUGCAAAUGGAUGACGAGUUUCCUUCCUUUGGUGUGGCAGGCUACCUGAUCUUCACCUAUCCAGAGGAGUUUUGAUUUGAUGGAGCCCCUUAGAUUGGUGUAUGCACUUAUUCCUUUUACGAUCUCAAGCAUGGUAACAAGGAUAGUGACCUUAAGGACUGCCAUCCAGCAUUUGGUAGAUACCCAGUGCUGUCAACAUGGAGUUUCCACAAUGUGUAAGGUUUUCAAGUGUGACUAAGGAAUGGAAGUAUUGGGCUAAGGAAUGAAUACUUCUGUUCCUGUCCAAGGCUGCUGUGGGAGCCAUGCGGUGCUGUGCCUGCUGUGUCAUUACCAGGCAUAGAAGAAGCAAGUGGAAAUGAAUCACAAAGACUUGCUCCAAGGCUACAGAAAGUCCAUGAAUCCAGGCACUGGGUAUAAUUGAUUGGAUUCCCUGAAAAAAGACCCAGAGAAGCCGCUGCAUGGAGCUGGAAAGAUGAAGCCCAAGUUACAGCAGAGGACCAGGAUAUUGGAGAGUCUAAAACUGCUUAUCCACUGAGGAAAGCUGCAAGAACACAGUGGAACAAGCCCAAGACAAAAGUGACAUGUGCUGUAGGUGGCAGAACUGGAGUGCUGGUACUACCCAAAUUUAGAGCUCAGAUGAUCCCGUCAUGAGUGCUGUAUGCUAGCUAUGGAGCUAUAGGAUUAGGUGUUGGUUGUAACUGGGGUUUUGUUUUGCUUUUUAAUCCAGC